rnacentral:lncRNA from 1 species
UCUGUCCUGGGGCUGCAGCCUGGAGAAGAAGAGCGAGGAGAAGUCUGCCCACGAGGUGCUGUGGGCGGAGUACAGGGAGCUUGUGAGGGGCCUUGGCUCCACCGCAGCUGGUUCCAUAUUUCUCAGUGUCCCUAGAUGAUGGCAGCAGCUGGCCUCUAGGCGACUGGUACCGGCCAGGACGCCCUUGCCAGCAGUGGCUUCGACUCUGCUUGUUUCUGCCCCCUCUGCUCCUGUCCAUCUCCAGUCCAUUUUGCUCAGUCUCCCACCUUCAUGGCCAUCCUCUCUUCCUGAGUCUUGAUCUAGACUGGCCAUCCGACCUGUGCCUUCUCAGGCUUCCUUUGGGGGCACCCUCCAGUUCUGGGGGCACCCUGGGGCAUAUGCUGGGCACACAAAACAGACUUUGCCACUGCAUCCUGUGAAGUCGGGUGGGCAGAUGACAGAGAAGGGAGUGGGAGGGACUUGCUCAAGGCCCCUGGUGACGGGCAGCCUGCUGCGGCUUUCUAUCAUGUUCUGCUGCCCGGCAUUCACACUUCCAUUCAGCCAGUCCUGGGCUAACCAACACGCUCCCCCCGCCCUGUCAUCUUUGCCUCCUCUAGUCUGUCCUGGGGCUGCAGCCUGGAGAAGAAGAGCGAGGAGAAGUCUGCCCACGAGGUGCUGUGGGCGGAGUACAGGAAGCUGGGGCCCCUCUCCUUCGCUGAGAUCAACGUCCUGCUCUGCUUCUUUCUGCUGGUCGGCCUCUGGUUCACCCGGGACCCUGGCUUCAUGCCCGGCUGGGUGUCGAUCGCCUGGACAGAAGGAAAGACAAAGUACGCCUCCGAUGCCACUGUGGCCAUCUUUGUGGCCAUCUUGCUAUUCAUCAUGCCUUCGCAGAAGCCCAAGUUCAACUUCUGCAGUCAGACUGAGGAAGGUAAGGCUCCUGUCCUGGCCUCCCACUCAUCAGGGUUGGGCCCUGGCAGCAAAGGGUCUCCAUAGAUUCCCUGGGCCCAGGAGGGAGAAAACCUCACCCUGUAGCAAAGGCCUGGCUAGAUUACAGAGUCUGAGCACUGGGUGUUUUCCAAGACUGCCCUGGGUAUUGUUCAGCGCAGGACCUCUUCUCUUGCUUUUUAAGCAUUUGCAAUCUCAUUUAUUUAACAAGAGGAACAGAAAGGGACUUCCCAUGAUGCCAUCAGUAUUUUGGGGGUUUCUCUCUCCCUCCCAGUCUUUGUUAAUAUGCAUAUAG